rnacentral:rRNA from 1 species
AGAGUUUGAUCCUGGCUCAGGACGAACGCUGGCGGCGUGGCUUAACACAUGCAAGUCGAACGAAAAGAGGGAAAGAGCUUGCUCUUUCCGGAAUUGAGUGGCAAACGGGUGAGUAACACGUAAACAACCUGCCUUCAGGAUGGGGACAACAGACGGAAACGACUGCUAAUACCGAAUAAGUUCCAAGGGCCGCAUGGCCCAUGGAAGAAAAGGUGGCCUCUACCUGUAAGCUAUCGCCUGAAGAGGGGUUUGCGUCUGAUUAGCUGGUUGGAGGGGUAACGGCCCACCAAGGCGACGAUCAGUAGCCGGUCUGAGAGGAUGAACGGCCACACUGGAACUGAGACACGGUCCAGACUCCUACGGGAGGCAGCAGUGGGGAAUCUUCCGCAAUGGGCGAAAGCCUGACGGAGCAACGCCGCGUGAGUGAUGACGGCCUUCGGGUUGUAAAACUCUGUGAUCCGGGACGAAAAGGCAGAGUGCGAAGAACAAACUGCAUUGACGGUACCGGAAAAGCAAGCCACGGCUAACUACGUGCCAGCAGCCGCGGUAAUACGUAGGUGGCAAGCGUUGUCCGGAAUUAUUGGGCGUAAAGCGCGCGCAGGCGGCUUCCCAAGUCCCUCUUAAAAGUGCGGGGCUUAACCCCGUGAUGGGAAGGAAACUGGGAAGCUGGAGUAUCGGAGAGGAAAGUGGAAUUCCUAGUGUAGCGGUGAAAUGCGUAGAGAUUAGGAAGAACACCGGUGGCGAAGGCGACUUUCUGGACGAAAACUGACGCUGAGCGCGAAAGCGUGGGGAGCAAACAGGAUUAGAUACCCUGGUAGU